AGAGAGAGAGUUUUGGAGACCUCAAGAUAAAGAACCAAAAGAGAGGAAGAAAGGGAAGAAGAAAAGAAGAGGAAAAGAGGGGAAAAGGAAAAUACUCCAAGAAUUUCAUCUAAUCCAAGCUAGAAAGCAAUCCAAGGUCAAGAUGAGGACAUCGCCCAACUAUUACCAGAAGCCCAUCACUGUGAGUUAUCGAAGGAUCAACAUUAGAGUUUGUACCAAAGUCCGCCUCUCUGUCAAGCCUCCUAGGAAGUGCCUCCGUGUAGAGGCGUGGUGUUAUUUUGUCAAGCCUAAUUUUGUUUGAAGUCUUUCAUAUAGUGUGUGAGAUUUGUAUAACUUCUGUUAUUGUAUAGGUAAAUAUGGAGUGUGUAGUUAAAUAGUUUAAUUAUUUCAGGUCAUCAUGUAUGCACAGCUCAAUGGACAUUUAUUAUUUUUGUUUUGCUUCCGCUUUAGGCCCCGAUAUAAUUUGAAUAUUUUGAAAUUUUGU